rnacentral:rRNA from 1 species
CCCGNNGGACCGGCGGACGGGUGCGUAACGCGUAUGUAACCUACCUUUGACAGGGGGAUAACAUCGAGAAAUUGGUACUAAUACCCCAUAACAUCACCGGAGGCAUCUUCGGUGGUUGAAAACUCAGGUGGUCAGAGAUGGACAUGCGUUGUAUUAGCUAGUUGGUGAGGUAACGGCUCACCAAGGCGACGAUACAUAGGGGGACUGAGAGGUCAACCCCCCACAUUGGUACUGAGACACGGACCAAACUCCUACGGAAGGCAGCAG